GACGAACCGCGCGAACGUUGUUCGGAAUCACUGGGCUUCAAGGGCGCGUAGGCGGGUUCUCAAGUCCGGGGUGAAAUCCCACAGCUCAACUGUGGAACUGCCUCGGAUACUGGGGGUCUCGAGGGUGGCAGGGGUAUGCGGAACUAUCGGUGGAGCGGUGAAAUGCGUUGAUAUCGAUAGGAACUCCGGUGGCGAAGGCGGCAUACUGGUCCACUUCUGACGCUGAGGCGCGAAAGCCAGGGGAGCAAACGGG
rnacentral:rRNA from 1 species